rnacentral:rRNA from 1 species
UACGGGGGGGGCAAGCGUUGUUCGGAAUUACUGGGCGUAAAGGCUCGUAGGCGGCCAACUAAGUCGGAUGUGAAAUCCCCAGGCUCAACCUGGGAACUGCAUCCGAUACUGGAUGGCUUGAAUUCGGGAGAGGGAUGCAGAAUUCCAGGUGUAGCGGUGAAAUGCGUAGAUAUCUGGAGGAAUACCGGUGGCGAAGGCAGCACUCUGGGACGUGACUGACGCUGAGACGCGAAAGCGUGGGGAGCAAACAGG